AAGCUUUCUAGUCAGACAAAUUCGACACAGAAACAUGCUUCGCUUCAAGAAGGACAAUGGCAACAUUCAGUUAUAUGUUGCUCUUAUCUGUCACACUGGAUAUUUUUCAGACUGUUAUCCUUGGAAAGUCUGGAGUGGUCACUAAUGUCACAUGUUCAUUAAAAAGUAAUAUUAUCAGAUGGGACUGGACACCCAGUUUUCCAGUGUGCUCUGAAACCAUGGGCACAAAUAUAAAGAUUUUUGAUGUGGCAAAGGGAAAAGUUGCACUGAAAAGAUUCAUCCAUAGACUGAAACUGACUGAGAAUUAUACACUCCAGAUCAGACACCCAAUCUCAAGUGACUCCGGCUUAUUUACUUGCGUUAGCCAUAAUGGUGAAACAAGCAAAACUAAAAUUCAGAUUGAGCCUGGCUGUAUGAAUAAUGUGUUGCUGGAAAAGCAUUCAACAAGCCAUUCACUGACCCUAAAGUGUUCAUUAUGUAAGACCACACCAAUCUAUGAGCUUGACAGAUUUGAAUGGAAAUUAAAUAACACUCCAGUAACAAAUAUAAAGGGUGUCACCGUAUCAAAGAACGGAGACAUCUUGGAAAUACAAAGCACUCAAAAAGCCAGUCCCGGAAAGUGGAUUUGCAUCUUUUCUCCAAAUACCUUAUGGUUUGCAGAAUAUUGUAUGGAUGAAGAUAAGGAAGACAAGGAAAUUGAUACGGGUAAUAGGAUCAAUGGUCUACAGGUUCUGCAGAUUGUGGGUAUCGUACUUCUGGCCAUAAUCCUGAUAUUAGCUGUAAUUGUAAUUGCGUUCCUGUAUAAUAAAUUUACUGUCAGAAAAGGAGAAACAUAUCAAGUCACAAAAGAUGACAAUGCAGAGAUUGCAAUGAUACCAUCAGAUGCUUCAAGGACCGACCCCAUGUUGGAGGCUCCAUCAGAACUAAACUACAUGACUAUUAUGUUUUCAGAAAACCAAGCUACUACAGUUGCAUUGGGAAGCCCAAAUGUUUAUGCUUCUCUCAAAGUUAAAUAAUGAACUCUCUUCAAGGUUUACCAGAACACGUUACUCAAUGGGGGUGGCAUUUUAACUUUGAACUUGUACAGCUGAUUGUGCCACAGACCCGAAUUAAGACAAGUUAACAGCAUCCUCCCUGUUGCAAUAUCUCAUUGAGGCAGCGCUGUAUGGUAGACUACUGCUGCAAUUGCCCGAGCUUACUCAGGCUCAGGAUGUCUCAUCUUAAGUAUUGAUUGUCUAUUUAUAUUAUCUUUUUCCCUGUUAGUUUCUGUAAGUUCUCCCCAUCAAAAGCAAAACUUUAGAUUCUGUGGAGAACCACAUGAAAAACAUGGCCUGUAUGUGGCAGUGUCUUUGAUAUACAGCUUUCUAGAAUGCAUCACCAUCAGCUACUGAAUCCUAACUGAAAACAACUACACAAAUUGCACACAUUAUUUUGUUAUGUUUAUGCUUAUCACUUACAUCAACUUGCAAGAGCCCAUGCUGUUUGAAAAAUUAUAAUAGCACUUGCUUGGUAAUAGCAAAGUAAUAAUCAUCUGCCUAAGUAAGUGAAAAGGGUAAACAAAAAUCAAUAAGUGGGAGUGAGGAACAAGUGGAAAAUUAAAAAAAAAAAAUACAAAAGGUGGCUUUUAAAUUAAUUGUAACCUGUGAGUUUAUUUUAAACAUUUUUGUGCAGUGUGAAUGAUCAAUUGUCUGCAUGCUAGAUUCACUAGAUUUGGAAUUACUGUGCUGCAUUAAACGGCCGAGUGUCCACACUCUGCUUUGUUUAAAGUAUGAUCAGCUCUCUGCUAAGGAGCUCCACUCCUCAAAUUACCCAGGGGCUUGUUGGGAUCUUCAUCUCGCCAUGGUUACCACACUGGGUGGCGCCAACCCUAGUGAUGCCAAUGGUUCAAACGCAUCAUCUUCAUGGGCUGCCAUGUUAUUAUUUCUUGACAUGCCAUCAAUAGUUCUUGUACAAAAUCGUACAUAUUUAAUGCGAAGUAUUGUUUAAAAUAUAUAUUUUUUGUAUGUAUGUUUAUUACCACUUCUGCUACUAAAAAUCAUACUAA